rnacentral:rRNA from 1 species
AGUGACGGGUACACUGUGGGGACCGCCGCUGCUAAAGCGGAGGAAGGAAUGGGCAACGGUAGGUCAGUAUGCCCCGAAUAUCCCGGGCUACACGCGAGCUACAAUGGUUGGUACAAUGGGUAUCUACCCCGAAAGGGGACGGGAAUCUCCUAAAACCAAUCUUAGUUCGGAUUGAGGGCUGCAACUCGCCCUCAUGAAGCUGGAAUCCGUAGUAAUCGCGUUUCAACAGAACGCGGUGAAUACGUCCCUGCUCCUU